rnacentral:rRNA from 1 species
UACGAAGGGGGCUAGCGUUGCUCGGAAUCACUGGGCGUAAAGCGCACGUAGGCGGACUCUUAAGUCGGUGGUGAAAUCCUGGAGCUCAACUCCAGAACUGCCUUCGAUACUGAGAGCUCGAGUCCGGGAGAGGUGAGUGGAACUGCGAGUGUAGAGGUGAAAUUCGUAGAUAUUCGCAAGAACACCAGUGGCGAAGGCGGCUCACUGGCCCGGUACUGACGCUGAGGUGCGAAAGCGUGGGGAGCGAACAGG